UACGGGGGGAGCAAGCGUUGUUCGGAUUUACUGGGCGUAAAGGGCGCGUAGGCGGUCAGCACAAGUCAGUUGUGAAAUCUCCGGGCUUAACUCGGAAAGGUCAACUGAUACUGUGCGACUAGAGUGCAGAAGGGGCAACUGGAAUUCUCGGUGUAGCGGUGAAAUGCGUAGAUAUCGGAAGGAACACCAGUGGCGAAAGCGGCUUCCUGGUCCAGCACCGACGUUCAGGCACGAAAGCGUGGGGAGCAAACAGG
rnacentral:rRNA from 1 species